rnacentral:lncRNA from 1 species
GCUUGCAAGAUUUGCUGCAUUUUGCUGAGGAUAGUAGCAAAACGUUGACGUGGAAUGCACGUGUUCGGGUUGCACUCGGAACUGCGCGAGCUCUAGAGUACUUGCAUGAAGUUUGCCUACCUUCUGUGAUACAUAGAAACUUAAAGUCAGUAAACAUUUUACUCGAUGAAGAGCUGAAUCCUCAUUUAUCAGACUGUGGUUUAGUCGCCCUUACACCCAACACAGAGCGAGAGUGGCUACACAGUUAGUUGGUUAGUUUGGUUAUAUCGCCCCUGAAUUUGCAUUGUUCGGCAUAUACACCGUAAAAAGUGACGUUUAUAGCUUUGGAGUGGUGACGUUGGAGUUGUUGACUGGUCGGAAACCACUGGAUAGGUAAAUCCUCAAUUAACGAUAUAAAGAUAUACCAUUUUCAAUUUUUUUAUUUUUUUUAUUUUGACAUCAAUUUCUUGCAUCUUCUGUUCGUGAUAUGUAUACAGUUCAAGACCACGGUCAGUAGAAAUAACGGAGACGAUGAUAAUCCGCUUCGGUAUCCGUAUGCUUGUAGUGGUAGUAUUAAGUUUGUACAUCAGGAUUGUCUUCUUCAGUGGCUGAAUCAUAGCAACGCUCACCAGUGUGAGGUUUAGCUGGUUGAUUAUGGUUUAGUGAUGGUUAUUAGGUGUUGUAAACGUGUUAUGUUUCGCUGGUUGAUUAUGGUUUAG